rnacentral:rRNA from 1 species
UACGUAGGGUGCAAGCGUUAUCCGGAAUUAUUGGGCGUAAAGAGCUCGUAGGCGGUUUGUCGCGUCUGCUGUGAAAACUCGAGGCUCAACCUCGAGACGUCGGUUGAAACCGUAUGGCUAGAGUCCGGAAGAGGAGAGUGGAAUUCCCGGUGUAGCGGUGAAAUGCGCAGAUAUCGGGAAGAACACCCGUGGCGAAGGCGGCUCUCUGGGACGGUACUGACGCUGAGACGCGAAAGCGUGGGGAGCGAACAGG